AUGAGCACCCAAGAAUGGGACAGCGAGAUUCUUUAUCCGAAAAGGUCUUUUUUGGAUAUGCCAAUGGACAAACUACUCCAUACCACCUUCAUGAGAAUACAAAUGCAAAUGCCCAUGAGGCUUCAUGUCAACAUCACAAAUACCUCAAAAAAUGAAAAGUUCUUUACAAAAAUGACUACAUGGGCAAUCCAGAAGCGCUGUCCUUACCGUUACCUCCCCAAAGAUAAUAUAAAGGUUUUGGGUAUUGGAGGAACGGCGAAAUUUAUAGGUGAAAGAAUUGUACAAACCAGAAUGUUCAACAAAACAAUGGCCAUGCUCAUGCCUUAG
rnacentral:rRNA from 1 species